rnacentral:rRNA from 1 species
UCCCCUAGUAACUGCGAGUGAAGCGGGAAAAGCUCAAAUUUAAAAUCUGGCGGGUUUUACCGUCCGAGUUGUAAUCUGGAGAAGCGUUUUCCGCGUCGGACCGUGUACAAGUCUCUUGGAACAGAGCGUCAUAGAGGGUGAGAAUCCCGUCCAUGACACGGACCGCCGAUGCUUUGUGAUACGCUCUCGAAGAGUCGAGUUGUUUGGGAAUGCAGCUCAAAAUGGGUGGUAAAUUCCAUCUAAAGCUAAAUAUUGGCGAGAGACCGAUAGCGAACAAGUACCGUGAGGGAAAGAUGAAAAGCACUUUGGAAAGAGAGUUAAACAGUACGUGAAAUUGUUGAAAGGGAAACGCUUGAAGUCAGUCGCGUGUUACGGGACUCAGCCUUGCUUCGGCUCGGUGUACUUCCUGUAGGACGGGUCAACAUCGAUUUUGGCCGACGGAGAAAGGGGAUGGGAAUGUGGCACCGGCUUGUCCGGUGUGUUAUAGCCCUCUUCCGGAUACGCCGGCUGGGAUCGAGGACGGCAGCGCGCCCUUUGUGGCCGGGGGUUCGCCCCACGUAACGCGCUUAGGAUGUUGACAUAAUGGCUUUAAGCGACCCGUCUUGAAACACGGACCAAGGAGUCUAACAUGCUUGCGAGUGUUAGGGUGGAAAACCCUUGCGCGUAAUGAAAGUGAAAGUUGAGAGCCUCCGCAAGGGGGUGCAUCGACGCCCGGCCCUGAAGUUCUCUGACGGUGCUGCGGUAGAGCACGUAUGUUGGGACCCGAAAGAUGGUGAACUAUGCCUGAAUAGGGCGAAGCCAGAGGAAACUCUGGUGGAGGCUCGUAGCGAUUCUGACGUGCAAAUCGAUCGUCAAAUUUGGG